GCCCUUAGCAUGCGGNCCGAUCAUUA
rnacentral:rRNA from 1 species